ensembl:lncRNA
GGCAGAGCUCAGCCUGGAGAAGCCACACUCAGCCCGCCUCCCACAGGCUCCUCUUUCCGCACAGUCCUGUGAGCUCACUUUUGCCUCUCUGUACUCAGAUGCGUCUUCCACCAUCUUCUCAACCUGGAAAUUCACGACCUUUCUUUGAUCUUCAGUCUUAUUCUUAACCUGUGAAUAGGGCAGUGAAAAACAUAGGAACGUAGGAAUUAAGUGUGAAUGGGUUUCCCUGAUGGCUCACACGUUUUACAUUUUCUAUCUGCAAGGAGGAUGAGGAGUUUUGCAGAGAGGAGCUAUGAAACAGUGUGAAGCAGAAGAUGAUGACAACUGAUGUGUCCGUGCUACUCACUGGCUUGCUGAAUUUAACUACAGGGCUUGAGGACCCAAGUACCCAAAACCAGAGACGGAAACAAGAAGGAUGACGGAGCCCGGUGGAAAGCCGCACUUCUGGCCGGCGAGCCCAGGCCCUGGAUGCUCAGGGCCCCUGCGCACAGCAGGAGCCUGGCUCCUCCUCCCCGGAGACCUCCCACCCGUGUUUUCAGGGACAGCUCGACAGCGUGCAAUUCCCCCUCCGUUUUCCUCAGACCUCUCACUCACCCUCUUCUGGGAAGCUUCCAGCUGCGUCCUGACCCAGUGCAAGUGCACCUGCUACCUUCUCUGGCUUUCCAGACGGCACUAGUGGUAAAGAACCUGCCUGCCAGUGCAGGAGACGUGAGAGACCCGUGUCCGAUCCCAGGUCAGGAAGAUCCCCUGGAGGAGGAAACGGCAACCCACUGCAGUGUUCUUACUUGGAGAACCCCAUGGACAGAGGAGCCUGGCGGGCUACAGUCCACGGGGUCACAAAGAGCCAGACACGACCGAAGGGACUUAGCACAUGCGCUCUGGUUUCCUCUUCGGCCUUCUCGUCGCUGGGCAUUUGUAAGCCCAUCCUCAGUCUCACCUCUCAAGGUUUCAGCCUGUUUUGUCCUCAACUUCUGAGGACAGUCACCCCAAGUCUUCACUUCUUUAAAAUCUCUGACUUUAACCAGCCCUUCUCUUUCCUCCUUGUUCAUUGCUUUAAAUAAGGUACCACAGUCAUUCCUCGCUCGGUUCUCCAUUCCUACCUAGAACAUUAAUUAGAACAGUGUUUCUCAGGAUGAACAGGUUCAUAGUAGUAAACCAGCUUCCCUUUUACUCAUUUCAAACCUGCCCGAACGUCCCUCCUGUUUCUAGUCCCCCGAGCUCACUCCCGGGCUCUGUGCGUCUGACUUUCAUUGAAUCUUCCUGUUGAAACAACUCUUCGCUGCCCAUCAGCUCCUGCUUGUCCACAUCUUGACCAUCCAUCUUCAUAUGACUUUUCCAGAAAGUGUCUGUCUGUGAAAGACACACAGAGUCACAU